ensembl:lncRNA
CACUGAUGGACAGGUCCUGGCUAAGGAUUGUGAAAUCCUCUAAGGAGCACAGAUGGACAAGGCCGGGGCAACGAGAGAGAGAUAAGCUGCUGCUAAUGGCCGGGAAACGGUCUUUUUGUGUGGACUUAUCUCGAGGAAGAUGGCCAUCUCAGGAGGAAUGCACAGGACUCUUGCUCAAGCACCCAGGAAUGUCACGUAGGCAGCAGAAAAUGGAGGAUAAAAGAGGGUCCAACAACCACAACGGUAGAGGUUGAUCCUUCACCACAACUGAGAGGCUUAUCUCUCACCACGACAGACUUGAGGGGUUCUCUGCCAUCUGAUCCUUCACCGCAACGUGGAGGCUGAUCUCUCAUGACGACACGAGCUUUCUGCCUUCAGAUCCUUCUCUACGGACGGUUUGCUGACGGACUUCCCUGGCCCCGCUACCUGAGACCUGCUGCUUCCUCCCUGACUUAUUCGGCAGCUUCUUCCUGGACCCACCCGGUACCUGCACCCUCUCGUUGCCCAAGACCGGCCUCGCUGCUCCUGCCCUUCGGCCUCGGACCGUCGGAACGUCGUGCAACGGGACUGCUGCUGGAUCCUGGUGGUGGUAGAUAUUUGAUGAGAUACAAGUGUCGGCCACCAGCACCUGGCUCUCUACUGUCAAACACACCCUAGUGCAGAUGGCUGCAGAAGACACCGGUAUAGAAGCAUUUAUGUGCAGAACCACAGCAUCACUCAUGAUCCCUAAGGACUGCCUGUCUGAG